rnacentral:rRNA from 1 species
AUGGCCUUACAGUGCUACACGCCUCUGCUGAAGCCCCAACUAGGCCAAGUCUCGGUCAACCCUUCCAUUAACACGGUACAGGUUCCAGAGUCAGUCCUCUGCCCCUCUGCUGAAGCCCUAACUGGCCCAAGUCUCGGCCAGCCCUUCUCUAAAUCGAUGCAGAUUGCAGGUUAUGGAACUGCACUUGCAAUGGUAGCAGGAACGACCUUGCUUGGGCGACCUUCUCUGUUAUGA